AUUGAGGAAUGUAUUGGAUAUAGAAGGGUGGACGCCAGUGGGGAGAGGAAGAGGACGUUUGAUUUGUUUGACUAAAGAGCAUCACUGGACUGUUGUAGCAAAAGUUUUUUUUGGGAACAAGCUGUAUAAAGAAUCUUUAUUCCUCUGGAGUUUGUGCGGCCAAUGAGUUCUGACGGCAUUUUAAGGGCAUUUUCUAAGACAUGUAAAGACAUGUUGUCCGCAAUAAUGGUCUGUUGAAACCAAAAGAAUGACGUUGAGCCUUGAUUAACUCGGGAGGAGUAACAGCCAGAACUCACGCCUGCUUCGGGCUGGAGAAGUGCAGAGAGGAGCGGAGGUUGCAGCUGCUGCAGAGCCGACAACGAGCAGCUCGUUAAUGGGUGACGUCGCUCUAUAGCAUCAGGGAAAGGCCGACUGCACGCAGGAAUUAGCCAAACCAGAAGCAGCUGUUGUCCGGGAGUGCAGCGGGCUUAAUUUGCCACCAAGUAACACGUUUAAAUUAAGUUAAAUGUGAAGAGGUGAAUUAACCUUGCUAAGCUUUAAGGGACUCAAUAAGUGCUUGAAGGGUAACAUGCUGCAGUAUACAUACAAGUCAGGUGUACACAUGUUAAAAGUUAAACUCAAGUUAAGAAAAAUAUAUACAUUUUGUUUUAUCUCAUUCAAGGAAGUUGAUUCCAGCUAACUUAAGACAGAUACGAGUGUUUUUUGUUUGUUGGUUUUAUUAAGGGUAACCAAGGUACCGAAAAGGGAAGUUUUGUGAUUUGGUUUUACAUGGAAAUAGUUUCUGUCUUGUAAUAGUUGAAAGAUUUAUUAUUCAGAUUAAGGUGUUUGUAACUGCACAACUAAGUUGAUCUUUAACUAGAGAAAUAAUUUAAGUUUAUGAACACAUUUAAAGGGUGUGUGUUUAAAUUAGGCUAAAUCUACAUACUUCUAAUGUAAAGAUAAUUAAGCUAAAGUUAAACAAUAAACCCCAAAGGAUCUAAACAAAAUGGACAAUGACAUGGCCAUGCAGGAAGACUGUGACCACAAGUGAAGCUUUUUCAGCAGAAGGCUUUAGGAA